rnacentral:tRNA from 1 species
GGGGAAGUGGCUCAGUGGUAGAGCCUCUGCUGGGCAUGCAGAGGGGUUCCGGUUCAAUCCCUAGCAUCUCCA